rnacentral:rRNA from 1 species
GUAGGUGGCAAGCGUUGUCCGGAAUUAUUGGGCGUAAAGCGCGCGCAGGCGGUUCUUUAAGUCCGAUGUGAAAGCCCACGGCUCAACCGUGGAGGGUCAUUGGAAACUGGAGAACUUGAGUACAGAAGAGGAAAGCGGAAUUCCACGUGUAGCGGUGAAAUGCGUAGAGAUGUGGAGGAACACCAGUGGCGAAGGCGGCUUUCUGGUCUGUAACUGACGCUGAGGCGCGAAAGCGUGGGGAGCAAACAGGGAUUAGAUACCCUGGUAGUCCACGCCGUAAACGAUGAGUGCUAAGUGUUAGGGGGUUUCCCGCCCCUUAGUGCUGCAGCUAACGCAUUAAGCACUCCGCCUGGGGGAUACGGCCGCAAGGCUG